UCCUUACAUCUUCUCAUCCGUUAUUUCCCCUAUCCCUCUCUCUUUUCUUCUUCUUUGCCACCAAUUAAAAAAAAGAGAGAAAGAAUGGUAAAAUAUUGUCUUCUACUUCACCAAUUCAAGAAGUAGCAUAUAUACGAAAGCCAACGAGUCUAGGCUAUGGAUUUUGGGUGCAGUGGAGUUUUUGCUCUAGAAUGAUCAAGAAGGAGGUGGGGCUUAGAGAGCUAGCUUGAGGCUUGAUUGGAUUGGGAAAAGCUCUUAAAGGUAUGGAGUAAGUCUGAGCGCGAGCGCGUUAGAGCCUACCGUUAUGAGGACGCUUAGACUUAGUUUUAUGAUGUUAGACUUUGGUUUUUGGGCCUGUGUGCCAUUGGAGAUUUUAUAUACUCUUGACUAGUGACUUGGAUAUUGUUAAACAUGAGUUGAGGAUUUACUUUAUUUUUUUUAUGCAUGGCAGCUUAGUUCGUUUCUUA